ensembl:lncRNA
GUAAGCUGUGGGCAGUGGGGAGCCAGGGAAUGUUUCUGAGCCAGGCAGAAACCUAACCAGAUUUGUUUCCAUCAGAUGACUGAUGGUAAUGGAGCAUGAGAAAGUUGGGAGAAAAAUCUGAGGCUGAGUCACUGGGGAGGUGGUUCUGACAAUGUGAAAAGGAAUGACCUAAAUGGAGGUGGAUGGAUGGAUGGCCUUCCCGCUCCUGUACCUCAGUGGUGUAAUAUAUCUACUCACCCAAGAUUUGAAUUUCAAACGUGGACAACAAGAGGCCGAAUUUCUACACUAAAGAAGACAGGUUCUUUACCACUAGCACUACCUGAGAAGCCCUGGUUUGAGGCUGGCGAGACAUAUGCAUCUGUUGACAGAGCCAAUCAUGGGAAGCAGAGUCAGCGGGCUUUGGACCACUCAGAGGCUAAUUGAGAAAAAGCUGUAAUUGUGGAGACAGCAUAGUACAGUGGUUGAGAG